rnacentral:rRNA from 1 species
UACAGAGGGUGCGAGCGUUAAUCGGAAUUACUGGGCGUAAAGCGUGCGUAGACGGUUAUUUAAGUCAGGUGUGAAAUCCCCGGGCUUAACCUGGGAAUUGCGCUUGAAACUAGCGGGCUUGAGUGCGGCAGAGGGGGGUGGAAUUCCACGUGUAGCAGUGAAAUGCGUAGAGAUGUGGAGGAACACCGAUGGCGAAGGCAGCCCCCUGGGUCGACACUGACGCUCAUGCACGAAAGCGUGGGGAGCAAACAGG